GGUUAAGUUGUGUAGGGCGCAUGGUGGAUGCCUUGGUGCCGGAUGACCGAUGAAGGACGUGUGAGGCUGCGAUAUGCCUGGGGGAGUUGCCAACUGGACUGUGAUCCCAGGGUUUCCGAAUGGGGUAACCCAGCCGUCUUGAUGGGCGGUUGCCGCUGGCUGAAUGUAUAGGCUGGUUGGUGGUGUGGCGGGGAAGUGAAACAUCUCAGUACCUGCUGUGGAGAAAACAAGAGUGAUUCCGUGAGUAGCGGCGAGCGAAAGCGGAGGAGGCUAAACCUGGUUCGUGUGAUAGCCGGCAGGCGUUGCGGGUCAGGGGUUGUGGGACAUCGUCGUUAGAUUCUGCCGAGUCUAGGUUCACGCAGCAUUGUCUAGUCGAACGGUGUGGGAAAGCCGACCGUAGAGGGUGAGAGUCCCGUAGGUGAAGGGCAGUGUUGGUGUUCGGAUGGUGCACCCGAGUAGCGCGGGUUUCGUGGAGGCUCGUGUGAAUCUGGCAGGACCGUCUGCUAAGCCUAAAGAGGUCCGGUGACCGAUAGUGGAUAGUACCGUGAGGGAAUGGUGAAAAGUACCCCGGGAGGGGAGUGAAAGAGUGCCUGAAACCAUGUGCCUGUAAACCGUCAGAGCCCGGCCAGGAGCUUGCUUCUGGUAGGCGGGUGAUGGCGUGCCUUUUGAAGAAUGAGCCUGCGAGUUAUGGUAUGCCGCGAGGUUAAGCCGUGUGGUGGAGCCGGAGCGAAAGCGAGUCUGAAUAGGGCGUUGAGUGGUGUGUUGUAGACCCGAAGCGGGGUGAUCUACCCAUGUCCAGGGUGAAGCGGCUGUAAGAGGUCGUGGAGGCCCGAACCCACCUCGGUUACUGAGCUCAGCUAAACUUCGAAUGCCAUGGUGUUGAGUGCGGCAGUGAGUCGGCGGGUGAGAAGAUCCGUCGUCGAGAGGGAAACAGCCCAGAUUACCGGCUAAGGCCCCUAAGGGUGCACUGAGUGGAAAAGGAUGUGGGGUCGCGUUGACAGCCAGGAGGUUGGCUUAGAAGCAGCCAUCCUUGAAAGAGUGCGUAAUAGCUCACUGGUCGAGUGGUUCUGCGCCGAUAAUGUAGCGGGGCUGAAGUGCACCGCCGAAGCCGUAGCAAUGCCAGGUUGACUUGUCAGCCUGGGUUGGGUAGGGGAGCGUCGUACAUGGGGUGAAGCCCGGGAGUAAUCCAUCGGGUGGACUUUGUACGAGUGAGAAUGCAGGCAUGAGUAGCGAAACACAGGUGAGAAUCCUGUGCGCCGAUUGACUAAGGGUUCCAGGGGACGGUUGUUCCGCCCUGGGUUAGUCUGGGCCUAAGGCGAGGCCGAGAGGCGUAGUCGAUGGAUAACCGGUUGAUAUUCCGGUACCCGAGUGCCGCGUAUGAGUGAUAGCGGUUGUGCUAACCGGCUGCAAGCCGGUGUGAGAGCGCCUUCGGGUGUUCUUGCAUCAGUGAGUGGUUGGGGUCCUUUCCGUGUGUAGCGUAGUGAUGGAGUGACGCAGUGGGGUAGCCGUACCGUCUGGUGGAUUAGGCGGGGUAAGGUGGUAGCCCGUGUUCCUAGGCAAAUCCGGGAACACCCCCUUCAGUGGGGAGGGUGAGCGCUGAAGCAUAGGCCUUUAGGCUGAAUUCGGUGAUCCCGUGCUGUCGAGAAAAGCUUCUAGCGAGUGGUAGUCGGCCAGUACCCUAAACCGACACUGGUGGUCAGGUAGAGUAUACUGAGGCGUUCGAGUGAUGUGUGGUUAAGGAACUCGGCAAAUUGCCUCCGUAACUUCGGGAGAAGGAGGGCCCUUGUCUGUGGUGCGUGCGCACGGAAGCGGAUGGGGGUUGCAGAGGCCAGGGGGAAGCGACUGUUUACUAAAAACACAGGUCCAUGCGAAGCCGUGAGGUGAGGUAUAUGGACUGACGCCUGCCCGGUGCUGGAACGUUAAGAGGAUCCAUCAAGGCGUAAGCC
rnacentral:ncRNA from 1 species